AUUUUGGACAAUAGGGCGCAAGCCUGAUCCAGCAAUGCCGCGUGCAGGAAGAAGGCCUUCGGGUUGUAAACUGCUUUUGUACGGAACGAAAAGGUCUGGGUUAAUACCCUGGGCUCAUGACGGUACCGUAAGAAUAAGCACCGGCUAACUACGUGCCAGCAGCCGCGGUAAUAAA
rnacentral:rRNA from 1 species